UACGAAGGGGGCUAGCGUUGUUCGGAAUCACUGGGCGUAAAGCGCACGUAGGCGGAUUCUUAAGUCAGGGGUGAAAUCCCGAGGCUCAACCUCGGAACUGCCUUUGAUACUGCAAAUCUCGAGUCCGGAAGAGGUGAGUGGAAUUCCUAGUGUAGAGGUGAAAUUCGUAGAUAUUAGGAGGAACACCAGUGGCGAAGGCGGCUCACUGGUCCGGUACUGACGCUGAGGUGCGAAAGCGUGGGGAGCAAACAGG
rnacentral:rRNA from 1 species